rnacentral:lncRNA from 1 species
UGAGUGCUCAAUAGUUAAGAGCACUUGCUGUACAAUCAUGAGGAUUUGGUUGGCUCUAAAAACCAUGCAGCAAGCUGAGACUUGUUGUGACUGCAGCAGUGUAGGGGCAGAGGAGGGUGCCUGGGACUUGCCCAGCCCCAGCUUCAAUGAGAGACCCUGUUUAGCAGAAUAUGAUAAAGUGGAGCAUCCAUUCUAUAUCUUUUUUCUGGUGGUAGUGGGGAGCAUGCCCCUUCUAUAAAUUGUGAUCCCUUAGAGAACUCUGAGUGUCUCAGCAAGUGUUCAGUAUAGGCUGUAUACCCUGAAGUAAAUCCUGAAGAAGUAAUGCCCACAAAGCUGUGAUGUCCACGAAGGAGUGGCCUGGCUAGUGAGAGCAAGAGCAAGCCGGCACAGAAAGCAAGCCUCUGCCUCUGUGUUGUCUUUUAUACCGGCUGCCAGCAGAAGGUGUGGCCCAGAUUAAAGGUGCAUCUUCCCACCUCAAAGAUCUGGAUUAGAAGUAGGUCUUCCCACAUCAAAUGAUUGAAUUAGAGGGGAAAAUCCUUCACAUUCAGUUUUAGUUCAUUCCAGAUGUAGUCAGGCUGACAACCAAGAAUAGCUGUCACAGUUCUUUUGUGGAAAUCACAAGAUAUAAUUCCUUCAGGUACCCUCUAGAUUUCUGAAAUAGUUGUAAAAAUCCAUGCUUUCAUACUUACAAAUAUCAUGUGGUUUUGGCACCUCAGACUUUAGAUCUUUGGGAUUUGUUUGCCUCAGAGUUGUUUUGGUUCUUAGUAUGGCAUUGGACUGUGGCGUGUGAAGGAGCUUCCAGUAGGCAGAAAUGGACUGUGUGGCUAUUGUGCAUGCUGAGGCCUCCAGUCCUGGUUUUGGCUGCUGGAUGUGGGUAUGCCAGUUUUCCUCUGGGAGUCUCAUUUCUCUCUAUGAAGUAGUUCUAUCCACAUCAUCUGGGGAAAAAAAUGUAAGCAUAAAACAUUGUAUAAGUAAGAUAUGGUUAAUGCAUUUGAAACCACAGAACUUAUUUUCUAUAAUCAAAUCAGAUUAUAUGAACUGAUAUGUUUAGUGAAAAUACAGAUAUUCAAAUAAGCCUGUCUUUGUAAAAGUCACAUUCUUGGGUCUGUAUUCAUUCCUAGCCUAGUGUUGUUAACUUCUGUCCAAAACCAAACUGCUAAAGUGUGAGAACACUCCUUGAAGAUGCAGAACUCUCGACCAGCCCUGUCUGCCUGACUUCACUACAGCAAUCUGGUAUAUGUGGCAGCCCACAGAACCCACCGUCUUCUUUAGAAUCUAAUGUGUUGUAGUGAGUCCUUGUGUGCUGUUGCUGAGCCGUUGCCGUGGGUGAGUCAGUUUUUGACCAUGUUAGAAGUGACUGGGGAGACUGGAUCAGCAUAGAAACAAGGCUUCUGUAUGGAAUAGGAAGUAAAAGUCACCUCAGGACAGACAUUUUAAACUUCCCCUUCUGUCUUAGAGCCUGAAUGAAGUUGAGGCCAGCAAUCCAGCAGCAUCGGUAACUCGCACACUAGGGUCAGCUCCUGUCUUAUUCCUGCCUGAGAGACUGCGGGAAGGCUCACUGAUGAGCACCACACAAGGUAGGGGUGUGGUUCUGAUCCUAGAGAGAACUAAACAUUUCUGGCAGCAAACCAGCCAUUGUUUUUGAAAACAUGGGCAGAGGUUCACACAGGCAAGUUAACAGAAUGACAUUCUUCAUGUGAUGAUGGAUAUAUGCCUUCCAGUAUUUUCUGUUCUGAUAAUUGACUUGAGAAAGCUUCUUUCUUCAUAAUUGCCAAAAUUGGAAGCAGCCAAGAUUCAGCAGGUGAAUGGAUAAACAGUGAUGUGGCCAGACAAUAGGAUAUUAUUUCAUUGCUAAAAACAACCCAGCUUUAAUCACAGAGGAACCACACCUGUGCAUUACAAAGCUAAAGAAACCCAUCGUGGGGGCUCUGAUGCCAUGACUCUGCAGUUAAGUGCACUUGUGAUGGAAGCUGAUGACCCACAUUGGAUCUCCAGUACCCACAGCAGAAGGAAGGACUGCUGACCCUACGUGUGUGGAGUGGCACGUGUGUACACCUCCAACAGAAACACAAGACAUUU